rnacentral:rRNA from 1 species
GCCUACGGGGCGCAGCAGUGGGGAAUAUUGCACAAUGGGGGAAACCCUGAUGCAGCAACGCCGCGUGAAGGAAGACGGUUUUCGGAUUGUAAACUUCUGUUCUUAGUGAAGAAAAAUGACGGUAGCUAAGGAGCAAGCCACGGCUAACUACGUGCCAGCAGCCGCGGUAAUACGUAGGUGGCAAGCGUUGUCCGGAAUUACUGGGUGUAAAGGGAGCGUAGACGGCUAGUCAAGUCAGAAGUGAAAGCCCAGGGCUCAACCUUGGGACUGCUUUUGAAACUGAGUAGCUAGAGUGCAGGAGAGGG